CAUCAGCUUUCUGAAGUGCCACCAAACCCAGAUGGCAACGAUGGAAGGUGUGUACAGGACUUGGCAGGCAUUUUUGUCAACAGCGCUGUCUUUAGGGACCUUCAGCCCCGCAUUUUAGUGGAGAUGUUGAAAGGCCCUCGGUGUGUGCAGUUUCUGAUGAAAAAUACGCAGCUUCAGGCUCACUUCUCAAACCCAGAACGCAUGCAGGCGCUAGUCGCCAAAAACCCGCAACUUCAAGAACUAUUAAAGGGUAACCAAGACAUCAUUCAGUUGGUGACAAACCAGGCGGUGCUCCGUGACACGGUAAAAAUGCUCCAAAACCCACCAACGCUGACAGAGUUUCAAGACAGAAGCUUGCGACGAAUUGAGGCAUGGCCUAGUUCUAAUGUUUGCUGAUGUUGGAUUUUCGCUUAAAAACACGGUUUAAGGCUAUUGCAAGAAGCACUGUGUUGAACUAAAGCAAUUAUGGGACAUCUGAAGCUCAGUCUGUAAAGCUUAACCCCUUCAGGCACCAAUUUCUUUUCUGUCCAUUAGACAUGUAAUUUUGGUAUGUUUCUUGCAUCACAAUCAUAAACAGCAUAUACAGCUGCACAAGGAAUUCAAUAUCUUCAAUUCUUCUAAAAGUUAUGUCAAGUUUGCAGAAUGUGUACUUCAUGCUAGAACUCUCUACAGGAGCGCGAGAUAUGAGACCAUAGACUAUCUUAUGCCUAGCAUAUUUAAAAAAUAUGGCUCAUCUGUUAGCAUUGUGAACAUCCAUAAAAGAAAAGGACCUGCUAUAUACACGAUGACAUACUGACUCCGUCAGCAGACAUGCACCUGUCUGCCUUCCAAUUCGUUUUACAAAAACAUUUUGCACACAUCACUCAACCUUGCAGCACAUGUGAAAUAAGAAGUGUUUAAGAUGUUUGCAGAACAUGUUAAAUACGCUUAUUUUCAUAUUACUUUUGCUUUUGAUGCGCUAUCUUGGCUUGCACACUUGUAGCACCUGAAAGGGUUAAAGGGUCCCCGA